GGGUGCGAUCAUACCAACACUAAUGCACCAGAUCCCAUCAGAACUCCGAAGUUAAGCGUGCUUGGAAGAUGUAUAAUAGUUUAUACAUACCAGCUUUGAGAGUAAAUUUUUGGUAUGUAUCCA
rnacentral:rRNA from 1 species